CUGUAAUGGGGCUGCCAAGAGGGAAUCACGUUCAAAUCGUGAGCUGUCGCGCAACUGUAAAAUCGUCGCUGACGGGCAGAGAAGAUAGUCAUUGGGGGCUCCUACUCCCGAGAAGGCUUCUGCCAUGAGACGACAAGCCAGGAGACCUGCCUCGGACG
rnacentral:ncRNA from 1 species